AGUUCGAACGAACUCUGGUAUUGAUUGGUGCUUGCAUCAUGAUUUACAUUUGAGUGAGUGGCGAACUGGUGAGUAACACGUGGGAAACCUGCCCAGAAGCGGGGGAUAACACCUGGAAACAGAUGCUAAUACCGCAUAACAACUUGGACCGCAUGGUCCGAGUUUGAAAGAUGGCUUCGGCUAUCACUUUUGGAUGGUCCCGCGGCGUAUUAGCUAGAUGGUGGGGUAACGGCUCACCAUGGCAAUGAUACGUAGCCGACCUGAGAGGGUAAUCGGCCACAUUGGGACUGAGACACGGCCCAAACUCCUACGGGAGGCAGCAGUAGGGAAUCUUCCACAAUGGACGAAAGUCUGAUGGAGCAACGCCGCGUGAGUGAAGAAGGGUUUCGGCUCGUAAAACUCUGUUGUUAAAGAAGAACAUAUCUGAGAGUAACUGUUCAGGUAUUGACGGUAUUUAACCAGAAAGCCACGGCUAACUACGUGCCAGCAGCCGCGGUAAUACGUAGGUGGCAAGCGUUGUCCGGAUUUAUUGGGCGUAAAGCGAGCGCAGGCGGUUUUUUAAGUCUGAUGUGAAAGCCUUCGGCUCAACCGAAGAAGUGCAUCGGAACUGGGAAACUUGAGUGCAGAAGAGGACAGUGGAACUCCAUGUGUAGCGGUGAAAUGCGUAGAUAUAUGGAAGAACACCAGUGGCGAAAGCGGCUGUCUGGUCUGUAACUGACGCUGAGGCUCGAAAGUAUGGGUAGCAACAGAUUAGAUACCCUGGUAGUCCAUACCGUAACGAUGAUGCUAGUGUUGAGGUUUCGCCCUCAGUGCUGCAGCUACGCAUAGCAUCCGCCUGGGGAGUACGCCGCAAGGCUGAAAC
rnacentral:rRNA from 2 species